rnacentral:lncRNA from 1 species
UGCAACAAGCACAGCUCUCACCACGUUGGCACUACCCAUCAAUUAUCACACAUGCCGCCCUAGCACCGGCCUGUACGGAUAUAUGCAGGGGGGGCCCGCCCUUUUCCGGCUCUGAGGAAAGCCGGCGGGCUUGCAGAGGUAGCCCAAUAACGAAAAUGCUACAGCUCCAAAAUAUAUGUACAGUAGGCGUGGUAGGUGAGCCCCGGAACCCGGCAUGCACUGUGCACCGAUGACCUAGAGCACAACUGUUGCAUGCAACGCAUCUGCUGCGACUGUUGCAUUUGUCGCUCUUGUCGCCAUUGUAGCGGCUGUCGCCAUUGUAGCGGCUGUCGCCGUUGUCGCCGUUGUCGCCGUUGUCGCGACUGUCGCCGUUGUGGCAGUUGUCGCCGUUGUGGCAGUUGUCGCCGUUGUAGCGGCUGUCGCCGUUGUCGCCGUUGUGGCAGUUGUAGCGGUUGUAGCGGUUGUGGCUGUUAUUGCAUCAGGGACGACUGUCGUACAGCUGCAGGAAAAUGGGGCCCCUUAGCUCAGCUGGUUAGAGCGUGGUGCUAAUAGCCAUGGGCACGCCAAGGUCAUCGGUUUGAUCCCGAUAGCCACAGAGGAGCGGAAAUCUUGCUGCUUAAGGAGGAGGAGGUGGCACAAGCGAAUGUGUAUGGGCGGGGAUGCUGCUCAUGUGCAUGACGAUGCG